AAGUUAGAAAUAUCCUUUUCUCUUCCUUCAUUCUUCUUGACAUUAUCAAUUUUGUCUUUAUAUUCCUGAUUUUUCAUAUAAGUUACAUUUUAAAUUUCCAAAUCACAUAGUAUCCUUUUUUUAUGCAACAAUCACAUAGUAGUGUUUUAUUCCUAUUCUCCCAAAAAAAGACUACAUUAUUGACCGUAUUAAUACAAUUCAAGCAUGUGAAAUGAAGAAAAAACUCUUUACCAAAAUCUGAAUACUCGUGAUGCCGUUACACCCGAUCUAUGAUAACAUUUUAUAUCUUUUUAUGCCUCUACUUCAUUGUUUAUGAAUUUUCCCCAAUCAUGAUAGUUGAAGUAUCUAUUCACACAAUAGUUUAUUUUAUGUAUGAUUUCGACUUAGUAGUUUUAUUUGAAUAUGAAUUGGCCGAAUUCCUUAAUUUUCUAUUAUUAUAUAUUAACUAGCUAGUUGUGAGUGGUGAAAAAAUUAUAGUGAUAGAUUUAAGGAAA
rnacentral:sRNA from 1 species